GAUAAACGCUGGCGGCGUGCUUAACACAUGCAAGUCGAACGGAGUAUUCCUCCCGAGACCAAGGAAGCUUGCUUCUGAGGAAUCAUUUGGAAUACUUAGUGGCGGACGGGUGAGUAACGCGUGGGUAACCUGCCCUAUACAGGGGGAUAACAGCUGGAAACGGCUGUUAAUACCGCAUAAGCGCACAGUAUCGCAUGGUACAGUGUGAAAAACUCCGGUGGUAUAGGAUGGACCCGCGUCUGAUUAGCUAGUUGGCGGGGUAACGGCCCACCAAGGCGACGAUCAGUAGCCGGCCUGAGAGGGUGUACGGCCACAUUGGGACUGAGACACGGCCCAAACUCC
rnacentral:rRNA from 1 species